rnacentral:rRNA from 1 species
UACGUAGGGUGCAAGCGUUGUCCGGAAUUAUUGGGCGUAAAGGGCUCGUAGGCGGUUUGUCGCGUCGGGAGUGAAAACUCAGGGCUUAACCCUGAGCCUGCUUCCGAUACGGGCAGACUAGAGGUAUGCAGGGGAGAAUGGAAUUCCUGGUGUAGCGGUGAAAUGCGCAGAUAUCAGGAGGAACACCGGUGGCGAAGGCGGUUCUCUGGGCAUUACCUGACGCUGAGGAGCGAAAGUGUGGGGGAGCGAACAGG